UCUAGACUACUACCAUUACAUGUAGAUAAGUACUUUCUUUUGUAUGAAACACAUGAGUGUGAUGAUUUAGCUAUUAUGAUCAUCUACUCAAAGUUUAUAAUUUCUUUUGUAUGAAAUACAUGAGUUUUUAUCCCCUUGAACAAAUCAAAAUAGUUGGAGUUUAUGGUCAUGUGUGAUUAUUCACUUUAUGAUCAUCUACUUUCACGAGAAGCAGCAAUGACCAAGAAAAGGCUGAAGGUUGAUGCUGAUGUAUCCUAUCGUGAGAGGACUGUGACGUGGGCUGAUGAUCGGAAGAAAUACAUGCUUGAUUGGUACAUGGACUACUUGAAAAAUGAACAUGUAGGAUUUAAGUUCAAGAAGCAACAUCAUUUGUCGUGUGCUGAUGCAUUAAAUAAGAAGUUCGCAAUGGGGGUGAACGUGGAUCAACUGGGCUGUCAGUACAUGCACUAUAAAGAAAAUUGGAAGAUCAUUGCAGCAGCACUGAGCAAAAGUGGAAAUUCAUUUGACCAAACCAGAUGCAUUGUGACUAUUUUAGAAUCUGAAAAGGCAACCCUGUGUGUAUGCUGUCUCAACCACAUUCAAGUUCUUAUGCGAGAAGGAAGGCUUAAAUCUGUGAACUCUACAAGUUGGUUGCAAGCUCAUUUUUUCUAUGUGUGUUACUCACAUAAUGACUAGAACAUGUUUAGUUACAAUACUACUUUUGUUGCUAAUCAAUGAUAGGUGAAUAGAGCUUGAUAAGCUGUUGUUCAUAAUCUGGUCCAACUUGGCUUUUGUCAUGAAUGUUAUGCACUACUUAACUGAGUGGUUGUUGAAUAUGUUUGACUCUUUAGGAAGAAAUUAAUUAUUAAGCGAUACUAUGGAUGGUUGAGCUAGAUCUAUUGUCUGAUACUUGUUUCCUGUUGUUCUGUAACCAGCUAGGCCUGAAGUUAGUGAAUCUAGAAGUGCUUUGACUCUGGAAGUGCUUUAGCGGUUCAUGCUCUCUCCGUGGUUAAACAUGUUCUACUAACAAAGAAAAAUUGAUGAUAAGCCAAAGGAAUCAUUCCCGGGGCAUGAUACUCAAAUGUGAAGCAUUAGAUGACACCUUUCUAAAGGUUAGAACCAUUUCAAUGCAAUGACUACGUAGUCAAGUGUGGUAUAAAUAUGAAUCAGUCCAUGCAAGAUCAAAUUGGCUAUUAGUUACAGGUAGAGAGAAGCAGAGCCCCUGCUGCCGACGUUGCCUCCUGCACAGCCUGAUCUUGG